rnacentral:lncRNA from 1 species
UAGAGUGCAGGAGCUGGUGACGGUGCAGGAGGGAAUGUGCAGGCAUGUGCUCUGCGCUGUUUUCUACCCCAAGUAUUACUGGGCAGGAUCCGGCCUAGCUCAUGGUUACUGCCAACAGGAUGAAGCCACUCCUGGAAGGAACACUCCAGUGGCUACAAACAACCCCAAACAAUUGCAGGAGAAGAACCAGGGCCAGUUCACCUCGUUGGUCAUCCCCAGACCUACAGCUGCUCCCUGAACCUCAGAGAUGCCAAUGAGGCGGAUACAGGGACGUACUUCUUUCAGGUGGAGAGAGGUUAUUACAUGAAAUACAGUUACGGAAAUGAGAAGUUGUUCUUGCAUGUGACAAGUAGAGGAAAGUCCCAGAAAAGGAGCUCUUUCUCCUCAUUCGGGGUCAAGCUGCAAUCAGGUGACCCUGGAAAUCUGACUUGCACCGUAUCAUGGGCCGGUGAGAAGGGAACCCCACCAAAUUUCUUCUGGAUAAGAGAAGCCACCAAUUUUACAGUCUCCAAGACCCCUCUUCCCGACCAGUCCUCAGUUCUCAGCCUUAUCCCACAGCCAUGUGACCAUGGCAGCAACCUCACCUGUCAGGUGAAGUUCCUCCGAGCUGGUGUGACCAUGGGGAGAACCAUCCAGCUCAAUGUCUCUUCCCCAAAGACCCUGAACAAUGGUACACCACUGCCUGUCCUGGAGGGAGAGUCCCUGUGGUCUGUGUGGCUGACAGCACCCCACCUCCCAACCCCGCCCGGCUGAGCUGGUCCUGAGAGGGAAGAACACUGAAUUCCUCCCAGCUCUCAGCACCCGGGGGCCUGGAGCUGCCUCAGAUAGGGGCUGGGACGGAGGAGCAUUGACCUGUUGGGCUCACCACCCACUGCGAUUUCAGCACAUUUCCCUGAGCCUCUGUGCAGA